GAUGAAGAACUUAGCGAAAUGCGAUAAGUAAUGUGAAUUGCAGAAUUCAGUGAAUCAUCGAAUCUUUGAACGCACAUUGCGCCCGCCGGUAUUCCGGCGGGCAUGCCUGUUCGAGCGUCAUUUCAACCAUCAAGCCCUGGGCUUGUGUUGGGGACCUGCGGCUGCCGCAGGCCCUGAAAUGCAGUGGCGGGCUCGCAAGACACACCGAGCGUAGUAGCUUACAACCUCGCUUUGGGAGUGCUGCGGGUGCUGGCCGUAAAGCGACCUUUGCGUCUUUAGCACUAGGUUGACCUCGGAUCAGGUAGGAGGACCCGCUGAACUUAAGCAUAUCAAUAAGCGGAGGA
rnacentral:misc_RNA from 1 species